CGCGUAGGCGGGUUUAUAAGUCAGUGGUGAAAGCCUACAGCUCAACUGUAGAACUGCCAUUGAUACUGUAGAUCUUGAAUUCGGUCGAAGUGGGCGGAAUAUGACAUGUAGCGGUGAAAUGCUUAGAUAUGUCAUAGAACACCGAUAGCGAAGGCAGCUCACUAGGCCUGGAUUGACGCUCAGGGACGAAAGCGUGGUGAGCACACAGGAUUAGAUAUCCCCGUA
rnacentral:rRNA from 1 species